rnacentral:lncRNA from 1 species
ACACGGCAUAUUGCCAAUCAAAAUUUUUCCAAAACUCGUCCUCUACAGGCUAAUUUUAUGAUUUUGAUUUUAUUAUUAUUAUUUUGGAUCCAACUACGUUGCACCGUGGGUUAGGUACCCUAGUUGUUUGUCUUUUAGCAAAUUUAGCGUUGGAUUGCAAAUAAAUGAAAUUAACGGUCGAGAUUAAACAUAACAAGAAAGGGGAGCAUCAUCUUUCUCCCCUCGUCUGAAGUGUACGAAGCAAUCAAUGUUCUGAAAUAGGGUUUUGACACCAAAAAACAAGGGAUUCACCUAUAGGCAACGUGCGAACAAAGACGAAUAGGGUUUUCCUCGGUAGAAUUAGGGCUGUAUUUGUUGGGUAAGCUUAGAUUAAUAGCUGUCGUCAGUUGCAGUCGUUUGUAGGGCAAUAUAACCAUUUGAGUGGUGGUGGAGUAAAGCGAGUAGAAGUAUCCUGGGGCAAAGUCUGUGGAGACUUGUGUUUAGAGCUCAUAUAUACUCGCAAUUUUGUAUCAAUCAGUGCUGAAGGAGUGCCCAACUAUCAGGUAAACCUAGGUGGUGAUGAUGAAUAUUCAUAUUUUGCUAUUAUUUUGUGUGUGUGUACAAAAUUAUUUGACUGUAGUUGUCUGGGUAGGCACGAACAAGGAGAAAUGGGCAUAGGAUGUUAGGUAUGGUUGUCAAAUAGAAAUUGGGAGGAAGAUAUAGAAAAUGGGAAUAUGUUAUGCUCUGAAUUUGUGAACUGAGGAUAAGAAACGUUAAUCGUGGAAAGAGAUUUUUGUUCGAAAGCACUCUACAACCACAGUUGCAUACACUGAUUUGUUGUUCUUUUAAAUGUGUUGGUUGUUAACAAACCUCCAUCAUAUUACAUGUGUUCUUUUAUCAAACACUUGUUUUCUUAUAGGUGACUGCCGCAUUACCUUUUCGUCAGCUUAUUGACAAUUGUCUCUUUAUUCAAUUUGCGGCCAUCAUAUCAAAUCGAUUGAUCGGUUUACUAAAAAAUCUUCAACAAAAUCACAACUCGUACAAUCUUGUUAAAAUACACCGAUAAUUCAGUUCCAACCUUCACUUGCAUGUGCUACGCGUUUAGUUGUUAAGAAAUUUUUUCCUGCUCCUUCUACUCUCUACCCUAUUACUGGUUUAUUAUUAGUUGACCGGCCCAUUACCGACUUGUCCAGUUACCUCCAGCACCUGUCGUGUGUCACCCCUGUCCGUUGGAUAAUAUCCAACGGCCAUAUAGCUAGACGACAACUAAGUGUGGUUUGUAACCACAGAUGCAACAUUGACGCGCCCUGUUAUUUUUUAGUGGUGUAACCAAAAGACUAAUUUGAAUUCGUGGUUUCAUACUAAAUUAACAAUAAGAGACGUUUUCUCAAAUUGUCAUUCAAAGUGACUCAUUUGAUCAUAAACUAACACUUGGGCACAAAGGUUUGUAAUAUUGCUCCAACAAUCGAAGAACAAUAAAGCAUCUGACAAAUUUUUUCACUUUAGUAAAAAUAAGAUCCAAUUUCCCAUUACAUAUUAUCUAAUCUACAUCUUCAUCUUCAUCGAACUCAGAAUCAUCAGUAGCCUUCUCACUCUCUGAGUCACUUAGCACAUACCUUGCCUGCCUACGAUUUGCUCUCUGUGGUCUAGCUUUAGGCGGCAGAACUUCAGCAACUUCUUCAGAGGUGGACGGAGAAGAGCCUGACGGUUCUUCAAUU